UUUCUUUGCCUUUAAUUAAAAUGUCUAUCUUUUUAUGUAAGUCUAAUAAUAACUCUAUUAUGGUAUUAUUUUGUUUUAAUAAAAUUUUAUCUGUUAUACUUGAAGGUAUAUGCUUAGAUAAUCCUUCUGGUUCGCUAUGAUAACUUCUUGAUUUUUCUAGUGCUUUACUAUAAUUUAUAUCUUCUUCACUCAUGAAAGUGAUAUUUCUUCUAAUCUUUUUGUUAUUUCUUGCAAAUCAUUGAUUUCUGUUGUUAUAUUUUCUACUUG
rnacentral:lncRNA from 1 species